rnacentral:rRNA from 1 species
GAACGCUAGCUACAGGCUUAACACAUGCAAGUCGAGGGGAAACGGCGUUGAGUGCUUGCACUCUUCGGACGUCGACCGGCGCACGGGUGAGUAACGCGUAUCCAACCUUCCCAUAACUAAGGGAUAACCUACCGAAAGGCAGACUAAUACCUUAUGUAAUUCUUAGAUGACAUCAGAAGAGAAUGAAAGAUUUAUCGGUUAUGGAUGGGGAUGCGUCUGAUUAGCUUGUUGGCGGGGUAACAGCCCACCAAGGCAACGAUCAGUAGGGGUUCUGAGAGGAAGGCCCCCCACAUUGGAACUGAGACACGGUCCAAACUCCUACGGGAGGCAGCAGUGAGGAAUAUUGGUCAAUGGGCGAGAGCCUGAACCAGCCAAGUAGCGUGCAGGAUGACGGCCCUAUGGGUUGUAAACUGCUUUUGUAUGGGGAUAAAGUCAAUCACGUGUGAUUGUUUGCAGGUACCAUACGAAUAAGGACCGGCUAAUUCCGUGCCAGCAGCCGCGGUAAUACGGAAGGUUCGGGCGUUAUCCGGAUUUAUUGGGUUUAAAGGGAGCGUAGGCCGGAGAUUAAGUGUGUUGUGAAAUGUAGACGCUCAACGUCUGACUUGCAGCGCAUACUGGUUUCCUUGAGUACGCACAACGUUGGCGGAAUUCGUCGUGUAGCGGUGAAAUGCUUAGAUAUGACGAAGAACUCCGAUUGCGAAGGCAGCUGACGGGAGCGCCACUGACGCUUAAGCUCGAAGGUGCGGGUAUCGAACAGGAUUAGAUACCCUGGUAGUCCGCACAGUAAACGAUGGAUGCCCGCUGUUGGUACCUAGUAUCAGCGGCUAAGCGAAAGCAUUAAGCAUCCCACCUGGGGAGUACGCCGGCAACGGU